rnacentral:miRNA from 1 species
GGGCUGGGCUGGGCUGGGCAGGGCAGGGCAGGUCCCAGCCUCCCCCAUCUGUCUCUCUU